AAAGUUUGGGAUUCCCAGUCUACAAAACCCCACAGCUCCUAGGAAUUCUCUCACCACCCUUGUGCCUUUAGGCUUCGGUAGAUUGCAAAUGACCUGCUUUCUUUCGGAUCCCGGGCUGCUUUCGGACACCUGUCGAAUAGUAAAUCCCAAGUAAGGUACCUGCGGUCGUCGGCAGAUCUGAAUUUUCUUCUUGGACACCUAAUACCCACAGUCCUCCAGAGACCGAGAGGUUGAUGUCACUCCCAAUAUCGGAGGAAGUAUACACCCCCGUGUGAGAUGGUCCUUAAUAAUAUUCCACGGCGGAGGGGGUGAUAUGACUACAUACAUGGCAGAAAGUGGAAACCUCCCAGGGAUAUUGUUCCCACGAUCCUGGAGGGAAGAAGAUGAUGUUACUUUCAAUAUGACAGAAGGUGGAUGAAGUGGUGGACUGCCCCUCCACACCUGUGGACACGCCCCCACUGAUAUUCCUUCUAAUUGCAGCGUGGGAGAGGAGGAUAUGACACGCGAUAUCGCAGGGAGUAGAAACACCCCUGUGAUACUGUUCUUAAUAUUCAGGGAGGAAGAGGAUGAUAUUACUCCCAAUACAGACGGGUGUACACCCUCUGUACACCGAGGGUGUACACCUGUCUGUGAAAGAGUUCGUAAUCUCCAGAGGGGGAGAUGAUAUUACUCACAAUAUGGUAAAGAGGCUGUGAGUCCACGGAGGAUCCUCAGAGCCAGCGGGGGAAGAGGGGCUGGCUCUCAGUCCCCGCCUCGCGGGGGUGACUCCCCCCAGUGCGAUGGGGGUCCUAAGAGCCAGUGGGGGAAGAGGGGCUGGCUCUGAGACCCCGCCUCGCGGGGGGUGCCUCCCCGCCCUGUGAUGGGGGUCCGAAGAGCCAGAAGGCUUAGAGGGGCUGGCUCUCAGUCCCCGCCUCGCGGGGGGUGCCUCCUCCCCCUGCGAUGGGGGUCGUAAGAGCCACUGGGGGAAUAGGGGCUUGCUCUCAGUCACCGCCUCGCGGGGGGUGCCUCCUUUCCUUUCUACAUAGACACAGUGACAGUCUGAUCUCUCUUUCUUUUCCCUACAGAUGGACACGCCCCCACUGAUAUUGUUUUUAAUGCAGCGUGGGAGGGGAGGAUAUGACACGCGAUAUCGCAGGUAGUAGAAACACCCCUUUGAUAGUGUUCUUAAUAUUCAGGGAGGAAGAAGAUGAUGUUACUCCCAAUACAGACGGAUGUACACCCUCUGUACACCGAGGGUGUACACCCGUCUGUGAAGGAGUUCGUAAUCUCCAGAGGUGGAGAUGAUAUUACUCACAAUAUGGUAAACAGGCUGUGAGUCCAUCGCGGAUCCUCAGAGCCAGGUGGGGAAGAGGGGCUGGCUGUCAGUCCCCUCCUCGCGGGGGGUGCCUCCCCCACUGCUAUGGGGAUCCCAAGAGCCAGUGGGGGAAGAGGUGCUGGCUCUCAGUCUCCGCCUCGCGAGGUGCCUCCCCACCCUGCGAUCGGGGUCCGAAGAGCCAGGGGGGAAGAGGGGCUGGCUCUCUUCGUGGAUGAUUCUUUUUCCAUUCUCAGGCAGUUUUCUUUUUUCUUUCUUUCUUUUUUUUUUUUUUUGAGACUGAGUCUUGCUCUGUUGCCCAUGCUUUGCUCGAUCUCGGGUGACUGCAACCACUGCCUCCCAGGUUCAAGAGAUUCUCCUGCCUCAGCCUCCUGAGUAGCUGGGACUAGAGGCGUGUGUCACCACACCCAGCUAAUUUUUGUAUUUUUAGUAGAGAUGGGGUUUCACCAUGUUUGCCAGGAUGGUCUCUAUCUCCUGCCCUUGUGAUCCACCCACCUCAGCCUCCCAAAGUGCUGGGAUUGCAGGUGCGAGCCACCGGGUCCAGCCUCUCAGGCGAUUUUCAUACCUGCAUACUCUGGUCACUACUCUGUUAAACAGUCAAGGAGGGUAAGUAUUAUCUUCAGAUUUCCAGAGCUCUGUCUCUGUACAGCCCUCUCCUCCUCAAUAUUCUGCCCUAUGAAUUCUAGCCACAUUGGCCUUCCCAGGCUCACAGUUCUGUCUUCUCAACUCAGGAAGAUCUCUGAGUUCCAUCUGCAUUCUUUCUUCCUGUGCUGUGGCCUGGAAAGUUUUCUAAGGUGUUAGGGAGGUCAAUUGUGGGGCUAGCCUCAUUUGUUUCUCAUCUCUUGAGGAUCACUGCCCUUUGAUGCUUGAUUCCAGUGAUUGAUUCCCUUUGUUGCUUGAGGGCCAUAGUUUCAUAUAUUUUGUCCAGUAGUUUUGUUGUUUUAGGUCAGAAAGUAAUUUUGGUCUCUGUUACUCUAUCUUGGCCAGAAGUGUAAGACCUAAGCAUUUACACAUCAAAAUACUGCACACAUAAUUUUAGUUUAAGCUACUUUUUAAAAAAUCUCCUUCAUUUUCCAUUUAGCAUUCUAUUUAGGGUAUUACAUUGGUUUUUUUGAAAUUCUGUUAUUGGCAGUUUCUAUUGCCUAUCAAUCCCAUUUAAAGAUAGUGCAUAGGGUAUUCUAAAAUAGCUGUUAAGCAAAGAGAAAAUUGGGCCUGAUAGGGUGAGAAUCACAGCUCUAAUACCUAGAGUGACCUUAUAAUGUAUUGUCCAAAGGAGAUAUUUUUGACAGUGAAAGAGGGUGUUGUUAGUAAUUAUAUCAGGACCAUGGCCUAAACCAGGACUAUCCCAGGAAGCCUGGGACAUAUUUGUACCCCAUCUCUAUUUAAUGCCUUUAUACAAUUCUUUACUUAAUUCUACCAGCCUUUAUUGAGCCUGCUUUCUUUGUCUAGCUGAGUGCCACGUGCUGACGUCACUAAGAUCAAUACAGCAAACUCUGAAAGAUGGACAGAGAGACAGGAGAUGGUCCUUUAUAAUGCAGUGUGAUCUGUGCUGCAAUAGAGUUUUGGAAGCUAGAAGUUCAAAACGAGGUGUUGGCAGCACCAUGCUCUCUCUGAAGAUGCUAGGAAGAAUCUGCUCCAUGCCUUUCCAUUCGCUUCUGGGGUUUCCUGCAAGCCCUGACAUUCCUUGGCUUGUAGAUGCAUCACCCCAGUUUCCGCCCCCAUCAUCACAUGGCCUCCUCUCUGUGUGUGCCUCUGCGUUCCCUCUAUUCUUCUUCUAAGGACACCGACACCAGUCAUAGUGGAUUAAGUGUCCACUCCUAACCAAUUACAUCUGCAACAACCCUAUUUCCAAAUAAAGUCACAUUCUAAGAUUCCUAGGGAGAACAUG
rnacentral:lncRNA from 1 species